rnacentral:rRNA from 1 species
UACGGGGGGAGCAAGCGUUGUUCGGAUUUACUGGGCGUAAAGGGCGCGUAGGCGGUCGUGACAAGUCACUUGUGAAAUCUCCGGGCUUAACUCGGAGCGGUCAAGUGAUACUGUCGGACUAGAGUACAGAAGGGGCAACUGGAAUUCUCGGUGUAGCGGUGAAAUGCGUAGAUAUCGAGAGGAACACCUGCGGCGAAGGCGGGUUGCUGGGCUGAUACCGACGCUGAGGCGCGAAAGCCAGGGGAGCGAACGGG